UACAGAGGGGCAAGCGUUGUUCGGAAUUACUGGGCGUAAAGGGCGCGUAGGCGGCUAUCCAAGUGGCGGGUGAAAUCCCUCGGCUUAACCGAGGAACUGCCUGCCAGACUGGAUGGCUCGAGACCGGGAGAGGUGAGUGGAAUUCCCAGUGUAGCGGUGAAAUGCGUAGAUAGUUGGGAGGAACACCAGUGGCGAAGGCGGCUCACUGGACCGGUACUGACGCUGAGGCGCGAAAGCGUGGGGAGCAACAG
rnacentral:rRNA from 1 species